rnacentral:rRNA from 1 species
AAUAACCAUACCGGGCCUAACGGUUUUGUAAUUGGAGGGAGGGAAGGAUAAACCCCUUUACGAGUUCCCAUUGGAGGGCAAGUUUGGGGCCCGCCGCCGCGGUAAUUCCAGCUUCCAUAGGGUAUUUUAAAGGUGUUGCCGUUAAAAAGCUUGUAGUUGGAUUUUUGUUGUAUAAUUUUAUAAUAUUACCAAGGUAAUUAUUAUAUUAUCAACAUCCUUCCUAUUAUAUUCUAAAUAUAUAGGAAACUUUACUUUG